UUCUAAUUAACCCCUCGUCUUUAUCAAAAAUAUCGUAGGGUUUCUCAAUGGCUGCUGAGGUUGAGUACAGGUGCUUUGUUGGUGGCCUCGCAUGGGCCACUACUGACCAAUCCCUUCAAGAAGCGUUUAGCCAGUACGGUGAAAUCAUCGAUUCGAAGGUCCGUUUGCCUUCGCAGAAACGGAUCUGACCCGGCCCGAUCGGUUUCGGCUCUGGCGAUCCAUUAUCUGUUUGAUCUGUUUGUGUUACUAUUUGUUACUGUUCUCUGUUCUCUUUUAUGUUACUGUCACUAACCACCAAUCGGUACGUUCAUCUUCAGUGCUCUGGCUCGAAGAUCGAUCGAUUUGUUCAUUUUCUCUCUCUUUAUCACGAUACUCCCUUUAGAUCUGAUCAGGUUUUAAUUGUCCGCAGAUUAUAAACGAUCGUGAAACUGGAAGAUCUCGCGGCUUUGGAUUUGUUACCUUCAACAACGAGAAGGCAAUGAGAGAUGCGAUUGAUGGAAUGAACGGCCAAGACCUUGAUGGGCGUAACAUCACCGUGAAUGAAGCACAAUCCCGCGGAAGCGGCGGUGGUGGCGGAGGUGGGGGCUACAGCCGUGGAGGCGGUGGCGGUUACGGAGGUCGCCGUGAAGGUGGCGGAGGCGGUUAUAGCCGUGGUGGAGGUGGAUACGGCGGUGGUGGAGGUGGAUACGGCGGCGGCGGUGGUGGUUAUGGUGGUGGACGUGACCGUGGGUACGGUGAUGGUGGAUCAAGGUAUUCUUCCAGGGGCGGAUCUGAUGGUGGUAGCUGGAGGGACUAGGUUUGGGAGGCACGUGGUUGUUUUAUGAUUUUAAUGGCUUAGUUUUAGUUGUGGUUCUGUUUGGUUACGGGAUCUCUCGUGUUCUGAUUAUCUGGUUGUUGCUUUUUUGACCGAUGGUUACUUAUCGUGUUCACCCUGUUAAGAAAAUUGAAAUGAAGUAAUAGAUCUUCGUUUGCGAACUUUUACUGCUUGUUUUGUUAUAUUGACUUUUACCCUCCCUUGCUUUCGUUCUCAUACGCAUCCAAAAGUCAUAUAAUUAGGUUGCUCGGCGUAUAAAAAAAUAUUAACCUCAAGAGUUGUAAUGUAAAAAGAAAAUCAGAGAAUAAAAAACUAAGAUGACCAAAAUAAAUAAAUAAAUAAAAGAACAAUGUAAACACUGGAUUCGGUUCGACUGCUUUCCUGAUUAGUGUACAGACUAUUCUUUAUUAUGGUCUUCUUCCAAGUGGGUAUAGUUGCUAGGCAUGUAACGCCAAACAACAACCAGAAGCAACAUUAAUAAUGCCAAGCAAAUGUGAAGGAAAAAACGUGUUGCUAGGGAAGUAUAGUGCGAAACAACAGCUCUGAUUGGGUGGGUGUGUAGAUGCGAAAGAUCGGAUGAUGAUGUCAAGGAUAUAUCUCUUGCUUGGCAAUGUCAAAAGAAAAAAGAGUAGGAUUUGUGCGAGGAAAGGUAGGAUAAAAAAGAGACCAGCUGGAUGGUGUUUUAAAUAAAACAUGCUGACAGUUUUCUUUGUGGCCACGUCGUCAUAAAGACCAAAAAUGAAAAUCUAAAUUAUAGUAAGGAGCUAUAACAAAAAUUACUAGAGAACUUUUAUUCAUUUUAAACAGAGAAAGCCACCUUCAAUUAUUGCAUUUCUUCCAAGCCACUAAAAGAGAGCCCAGCGUGCCGACUUGAAAAAAAAAAAAAAAACCCACGUUUAGAUCUAAUAAAAAAUAAUUAUGAGGUAAUGGUUUUUUUUUUUUUUUGAAAAUAUAUUAAAAUAUAUUUUUUAAAAAAAUUAUUUUUGAUCUCAAAAUAUUAAAAUAAUAUAAAAACAUAAAAAAAUAUUAAUUUAAAUCUAAACAAACCUUUUAAUUUUUUCAAACACAAAAAAACAGUUCUUCCAUUGACUAAAGAAAGCUUGACUAAAAAAGAGAUUCAUUCAUUUUAGUAUGGGAAAGAGACGAGGGUUUGUACCAAUCAAGAAGUUACCGGAGAACAAAAUACUAAAUCGAAUCAGAAAGCAAACAAAAUGUUAGACUGAAAUUUGAAGUCCAAGUACGGGCUAGUUACAUACCUGGAGUGAUAGCUAGAGAGAUCACGGAUUGAGUCUUUCUAGAACCACUUUUAAACAUAAAAGAACACUUUUCAGGUAGUAGUUGUGGUUUGGAAAAUCAAGUCAGACUCAUUUUUAAUUUAAAACUCAUUUGUAAAAAAUCUUUAAAAACACCUACAAAAUAUAUAUAGACUAAUUUAUUAACCUAAAAAAACUAGAAAAUAAUUCUAUCAAAUCGAGUUAUAUCUGUUUUUUUCAAUUUCAAUAUAUUAUUUUUAGGUAACAUUGAGGUUUUGAACAACUAUCAUAAAAUUAUUUUCUUUAAAUAAAACCUGUGGAAGCCAAGAUAAACCAAUUUGGUGGUCAGAACAUUUGAAAACAACAACUUUCUUUCUUUACUGAAAUUCAACAAAACUUUCUCUCAUUCAUAAACCACAUAAUUGAAAAUAUUAAAAAUAAAAUUCUACACUAAAAUUAAAUUUAGAAAAAAAUAAAGGACCGAAUAAGUUGUAAUGUUUAAAAUUGAAAGACUACAUUUUACUUUUCAUGCCACCUUUAAACACACUACUUGUUUUUAGUGUUUUUCUAAGUUGGUCCUCCUUUCAAUUCUGUCCCUAACCAACAAAUACUAAUCAAUUUGCUAUUUACUUUGGAAUUAAAAAACUCAAUUGAUAAAAACAAAAGUUCAGGAAACAAAACAAAAAGAAAAACAUUGCUCCGGUUCAUGUUACAUUAUGAGUGUGUGAACAAUCUUCAACAUUUUCUUAUUUUAUUUUUUUAUACACAAUUUUUCUAGAAAAAAAUCAUUAAUAGAAAUAAUUUGAUAGAAAAUAUAUGUAAUAACAUGAAUUUUUAUAAAAUUUAACAUCUAUUUAAAUUAGAAGUUUUAGGAAAUCACUAAACCUAUUUAAACAGAUUUCUUGAUAUUUUGUUGAUGGAAUGGUAAGAUUAAAAUGAUCAUGUGACGUGAACAGCAAAAUUGAUCAAUUGAUUUGUUAUUAAUAACAUCGAAAACCAUCCUAAUAGAUUAAAAAAAGGGUACUUUUAGACUUUUAUUACAGUAAAUUACAAAUUGUUUUCUAUAAUUCUACAAGAUAAGUUAAAUGGUUUUUCUAAUUUAAAAGAUUUAUUAAUUAGUUCAUAUGUUUUUAAAUCUAUUUAUAACUUAAUCAUGUUCCUUUUAAUUUAAUUUAUUCUUUAUUUUAAGAAGUAGAAGAAUAAAAAAAAAUGAUUCGAAAAGAUUGAAGGAAAAGUUAUAUAAUGAUUGGCUGCAGUUACUUUUCAAAAUGCUUUUUACUCGGAAAUACAUCAAAAUAAUAUAUUUUUUAUUUUUUAAAAUUUAUUUUUGACAUCAGCAUAUCAAAAUGAUUUGAAAAUACCAAAAAAUAUAUUAAUUUAAAGUGAAAAAAAUAAAAUUUUUUUAUUUUUUUUAAAAAUAUUUUUAAAACAAAAAAACAAACACAACCGAAUUCAUAGGAAAGGCAGUAAAUGAAGGUUGAUGCUGGCAACUUGAAAACGAGAAAGCAAAUGAAAAAAAUAAAAAGUAAAAAAAAUCGAACAAUUAAAGUUAUAGAAACACAAGAAAGUGUUAGUGCACAACCUUUUACUUUAUAAUGUGUUGAUGUACAAAACAAAGCGAGAAAAACAAGGAGUCCAAAUAUAAAGUUGUGUCGGAAAUAUUCUAAUAUUGUGCAAAGCGUAUAUUAUGGAUGUUUUAAAAAAGGAGAAUCAACAUAUAAAUAAAUUUAAUAUGAUUAAUGAUUCGAAUAAUUAUCUACUUUUAUAAUUUCGUAAAUUGUACUAUAACCAAAAGAAGUAUAAAUUAUAAAGUGAAUAACUCCUGUUGGGAAGCUCCACUGUACAAGGAGCACUUCUUUCUUACCAUCCAAUUUACAAAAGAACCAACAGCACAAUUUGUAAUGGUUAUCUCCAAUUUAUCUGGAAUGAGAAGUCAUCUUGGAUGAUUGUUUAUAUAUAUUUUUUAGGAUUUGAUUAAUUUUGGUUUUAUACUAGCUAUUUGACCUGUAUCGAAUAUUUUUUUUUUCUAAAAAAUAUACUUACAUGGUUUUAUGACGUGUUUUUAUACACAAAAAAAUCCUAAAUGAAAUUCAAAAACUUUAUAUAUGUAUCUAAUUAAUUAAAUUGAGAAUCAUUGAUGCAAUAAAAAAAUCAGGAACCCGAUCCCUACUCAGCUAAAGUCAAUCAACCAAACUCGUGAUAUGGAUCAUGAACUCAAUUGGGUUUAAUAUUUUUUUUUUAUCUAAAAUAAACAUCUAUAAAAUUAAGAACCGACCCAAUGUCAAGGUGAUUGGAAAAAAAAAUUAAAUCGAAAUAAAUUAUGUUACUCGAUUAAUAAUCAACCAAAUAUUAAGUGAUGAAAUUUAAAAAAAAACAAGAUUUUUUUUAAAAAUCCAAUUGUAAUGGAUAAGAAAGGAAAAAAAAAAGACUCAAUCUUUCGGGUUAGGAAGGCCUAAAGCUCCUGGGCUUCCAGAAAAAGACCCAAGCAUGCGAGCCUAAUUUUUUUUAAAAUAUUUUUUAAUGGAUGGGCGACAAGUUGUUUGCCCUUUAAUUAUUUGAAAAAAAAUUAUAGUCGACGCGUUGCCUGCCCUACCCAUAUUCUAGUGAUCUCUGGUAAUCAAAAAAUCAAAUUGGCCUAUUUCAGAUCAAGAAAAAUUUGUUUUCAACUAUAUUUUGACCUGAGAAAAAUAAACCUAAACACAUAAAACAUAUUCAUAGCCUCAAACAAUCUAAAAAUUGAUUCAAAGACCCACAAUCAACUCGAAAUCAAAAUUCUUUUUAGAUUCAGAUCUACCGUUUCAGGCAAGUUUAAGGAAAACACCUUGGAUAAACUCUUCACAUAAAAAAAACAUAUUGACAUCAAAAUCAUUCAUUUUUGUGGUAAAAAUCAGUCUCAACCAAGUUCUUUUUUCUCUACCAUUAAAAUUUAGCUAUUUUCUUUGUUCUCUUUUAAACCAAAUACCAAAAAAUAAAAAAAAUAAAGUCUGCGAUUAAAAUUGAAUUUAAUAAAUUAUUAGAAAAUGAAAGUUUAUAAUUUUAAAAGUUGGAGAACCAAAAUAUAUAUUAAGCCCCAAGUCUUAAAAACACCAUCUUUUUUUGUUGUGAUUUUUAUUUUAGUCCCUUAUCUCUUAAUCUUUCUAUUCUUUAAUAAAUAUGUUUUAAUUUUCCAUUAAUUUAGGUUUAUAAGAGUGUGUAAUUAGAAAAAAAAAAAAAAAAGGACAGGCUUGAGGGACAAAAUUUUCCCCAGUUUCUUUUAUCUUUCCGGUGGUGAGUAGAAUCGUUGCAGAUGUAGGCCCAAUUCAUUCUCGCUCUGAUGUCCUUGGAACUUGGAACCAUAAAAACUGGGCGUGCGUUUCUUGUGCAUUCGUACUCCAAUGAAGAAGCAGAUUUUGGUGGGCUUAGGCCAGAUUUGAAGCUGGCCCAACUUAAUGAAGAAGAUGGCGUGAAAAAGUGCCCAUUUCAAUGUAAUACACCCCGAGAAGGAAGUAUUGGGCUUGUCUAGAUAGUUUGAAGCUUUAACUGAAUCUUGCUUUGAUCUGUGCAUGGUCUAUGUGAAUGGGGCUAAGGCCCUUCAGUUAAUGAAAAAUCAUUCUUGUUCAAGGAAGAAAGAUAAUUUGACCCAAGAAAAUCCAGAUAGAAUAGUAGUCUUACUGCAACCCGGAUCAUGGUGGGCCCUUGUGCAGGAUUUGAAAAUUACGUUUGAAAAUCAUUUUCUUCUACUUUCCUUUCCAUUAUUAAAAGUUACGGUGGGUUUGAUAUUACGAUAACUUUUAUGGUUGUGAUUUGAAAAAAAAAGUUUUAUAAAAAUAACUUUUAGUUAAAGUUUAUUUUUUAAACUAAGUGUUUGAUUAAAACUGUAAUGGAGAUUGAAGUUGAAUAAAAAACAAUUUAAUGUGUUUGGUUAAUAUGCUUUUCAUAUUAAGGUUUGAUAAUGAAAUUACUAAAAAGAACAUAUAUUAAUUUUUUUUUACUUUUAAUUCAAAUAAUGUAGAUUUAAUUAUUAUUACAUAAUGAAAUGACUAAUCCCUUUAGAAAAGGCGAAGGAAAUACUAAAAACAAAAGAUUAAGAAAGGGCUAAAAGUAGAAAAAAGCUCUAAACAGGAAAGGCGAGAGAGACUUUAAUUAAGAAAAGGCAAAAAAAUGUCAAAAGUUGAUGAUUGGGGGCAUGCGUGAAAAAAAGAGAAAGAAAAAAAGAGAAAUAAGAAACAAAACCGAAGGAAAAACACACCCAAAAGAUCGAAAGAUAAGAAAGUGAAAUACCAAGUCUUUUGGUAUCUAUAAUAAAGCCUCUUGUUAAGGAAAAUAUGAUUCAGAUUAUAUUAUUUUCAAAUGAUUAGAUAAAAGACAAGUUAUCCAUCAAAUGAGGAGUUGGAGUUGAUUUAUGAUAUCUGUUAAGAUAACAAAAAGAUGAAGGAGUAUUAUGAGAUAAAUGAUGAGCAAUGAGCUUUAUUCUUCUUUUUUAAUUUUAGAUUGACAAUGAAAGGAAUGACAUGGUUAUGGAGCUUACUGGACCAUUGAUUGAUAGAGGUAAAAAUUCUGGUUUAAAUGAAUGUCAUGGUUGUAUGCCAUUUCUUUUACAAAAACAACAAAAGAAAGAGACUUGAGUGAAUAAUUGAUGGUUGUCCUAGGUCAUUGAAACCCACCAAUACUUUUUCAGGCUAUGAAUUUCCCUUCCUUUUAUAACCAUGAGCUAUAACAUGCAUCACGUGCUUUUAAAAGCAUUUUUUAAUCAAGCAAGCAAUUUAAACUGAUAAAUAAUACUCUCAGAAUGUGAAGAGCUUUUUUAUGAAGUUCAAGACUUCACGAACUAAGUUACUGGUUAUUAUGCAUGCUGAUAAAAUGGUUGCUCAAAAGAGAUAAUCUUUUUUGAUAGAACCAUGAGUCUUGACUCGAACCUCUUGCCGUUGAAAUCCAUAGAAGGUCACCUCAUCAUGUACCAUCGGAUGAU
rnacentral:lncRNA from 1 species